rnacentral:lncRNA from 1 species
GCGCAUGCGAGGGAUCUAGGCUGCGCGCUCCUUAUGAGAAUCUAACGCCUGAUGACCUAUCACUGUCUCCCAUCACUCCCAGAUGGGACCGUCUAGUUGCAGGAAAACAAGCUCAGGGCUCCCACUGAUUCUACAUUAUGCACACCAAAGAGAGUUCUAGAAAAAAUGAGAAUAAGAAAUUUACCUGUAAUCCUUGCUCAAGAAACUGAAGCUCUGAGGCCACAUUGUUCCAGCCUUUUGCAGCUCCUGCAUGUGGAUACCAGCACCAGCAGCUCCCCGACCAGGGGCCCCAGCUAAGCCCUCCCAGAGGAUGAUCUUGGCUUUGUACAUGGGGUGUCAAUAUCCUGUGAGUCCAACAGAGGGAAGACAUAAGAAUAUGGUCACCCAGGUUUCCUCUGGCCCCAUACUGGGAUCCAUUCCUGGGACAACUAGAAGUGCCAGGGAGUUAAAGCCCCAAGAGCGACCUUCAAGCCAAUAAGAGAUGGAGUUGGAAUGAAAACCUCAGCUUCCUCAUACCUCAGUGGGACAAUCCUGAGAUGUGUUCCUCAAGUCUCUCCAAGGACCUGAUGGGACUGAGUCCUGGUUGCUCAUGAGAGAAACCAGCAGGACUGGAUGUCAGUGAUUGCACCAUGCAGGAUUACAGAUUGUGCUGAGUUUAGAUUUUCUGCCUUCCUCCUCAGUUGUCAGGCUGCUAGCCAGCUCUUCUGCUCCCAUGACACCUGCAUCGAAUGCCUGCCCUUUCCUUACUACAAGACCCUUUCCAGUUCCCAGAUUAGAAUCUGCCACAGGCUAGGAAUCCCACAUCCCAGUAGUGAUUUGGCUCCAAGUGCAAAGGCACCUAGUGUCUGCCUUUUGUUCAGCAGCUUGGUGAUGGACAUAUCCAGGACUCAGAGACCCCUUUCCCUCAGCUCUCUGAGUUGGAAGCUGUCAGGUGCAGAAGGGCAACAUCUUACAUACACAGGGUUUGGGCAGGUCUGGGCAGUGCCUGGUUAAUGUUAAAUAAUGCAGAUAAAGGAAUUGUUGACAUCUGAAAGUCAAUAUGAAAAUUGUAUGCACUGCUGUGACUCAUGCAACUUCACUCCCAGCCCUGGUUCUCAUGAUUCCAGAAGUGGAAAAAAUAAGGCAACUCUUUUCCUCACAAUUCAAAAAAAUACCUAUUGAGCAACAUCAGCUUGGCCCACACAAGACAAUUUUUAUCCCUUCCGUUAGUUAACUUUGCUUUGGCCAAAGGCCAGAAAAACCUCAUUCUUUACAGGCAACCUCAGACCACCAUCCUGGAUCCACUUCAAAAACUAACUGCAGACCUGUGUCUUACUAGAGGUGAUUUGGUAGCAUUGAAGAUCAAAUCCCGAUUUAAAAAAUUAAAAAAAAAAUGAACAUAAAAUGCAUUUUUAACAA